rnacentral:rRNA from 1 species
GACGAACGCUGGCGGCGUGCUUAACACAUGCAAGUCGAACGGAAAGGCCCUGCUUUUGUGGGGUUCUCGAGUGGCGAACGUGUGAGUAACACAUGAGUAACCUUCCCUUGGCUUUGUGAUAACUUCAGGAAACUGGUGCUAAUACCUGCUAGGUGCUCCUGCUGCAUGGUGGUGGUUGGAAAGUUUCGGCGGAUGGGGGUGGACUCGCGGCUUAUCAGCUUGUUGGGUGGGUAGUGGCUUACCAAGGCUUUGACGGGUAGCCGGCCUGGGAGGGUGACCGGCCACAUUGGGACUGAGAUACGGCCCAGACUCCUACGGGAGGCAGCAGUGGGGAAUAUUGCACAAUGGGCGGAAGCCUGAUGCAGCAAUGCCGCGUGCGGGAUGACGGCCUUCGGGUUGUAAACCGCUUUCGCCUGUGACGAAGCGUGAGUGACGGUAAUGGGUAAAGAAGCACCGGCUAACUACGUG